rnacentral:rRNA from 1 species
GGUUAAGCGACUAAGCGUACACGGUGGAUGCCCUGGCAGUCAGAGGCGAUGAAGGACGUGCUAAUCUGCGAAAAGCGUCGGUAAGGUGAUAUGAACCGUUAUAACCGGCGAUGUCCGAAUGGGGAAACCCAGUGCAAUUCGUUGCACUAUCGUUAACUGAAUACAUAGGUUAACGAGGCGAACCGGGGGAACUGAAACAUCUAAGUACCCCGAGGAAAAGAAAUCAACCGAGAUUCCCCCAGUAGCGGCGAGCGAACGGGGAGCAGCCCAGAGUCUGAAUCAGCUUGUGUGUUAGUGGAACGGUCUGGAAAGUCCGACGGUACAGGGUGAUAGUCCCGUACACCAAAAUGCACAGGCUGUGAACUCGAAGAGUAGGGCGGGACACGUGGUAUCCUGUCUGAAUAUGGGGGGACCAUCCUCCAAGGCUAAAUACUCCUGACUGACCGAUAGUGAACCAGUACCGUGAGGGAAAGGCGAAAAGAACCCCGGCGAGGGGAGUGAAAAAGAACCUGAAACCGUGUACGUACAAGCAGUGGGAGCACCUUCGGGUGUGACUGCGUACCUUUUGUAUAAUGGGUCAGCGACUUAUAUUCUGUAGCAAGGUUAACCGUAUAGGGGAGCCGCAGGGAAACCGAGUCUUAACUGGGCGUUAAGUUGCAGGGUAUAGACCCGAAACCCGGUGAUCUAGCCAUGGGCAGGUUGAAGGUUGGGUAACACUAACUGGAGGACCGAACCGACUAAUGUUGAAAAAUUAGCGGAUGACUUGUGGCUGGGGGUGAAAGGCCAAUCAAACCGGGAGAUAGCUGGUUCUCCCCGAAAGCUAUUUAGGUAGCGCCUCGUGAACUCAUCUUCGGGGGUAGAGCACUGUUUCGGCUAGGGGGUCAUCCCGACUUACCAACCCGAUGCAAACUACGAAUACCGAAGAAUGUUAUCACGGGAGACACACGGCGGGUGCUAACGUCCGUCGUGAAGAGGGAAACAACCCAGACCGCCAGCUAAGGUCCCAAAGUCAUGGUUAAGUGGGAAACGAUGUGGGAAGGCACAGACAGCCAGGAUGUUGGCUUAGAAGCAGCCAUCAUUUAAAGAAAGCGUAAUAGCUCACUGGUCGAGUCGGCCUGCGCGGAAGAUGUAACGGGGCUAAACCAUGCACCGAAGCUGCGGCAGCGACACUAUGUGUUGUUGGGUAGGGGAGCGUUCUGUAAGCCUGCGAAGGUGUGCUGUGAGGCAUGCUGGAGGUAUCAGAAGUGCGAAUGCUGACAUAAGUAACGAUAAAGCGGGUGAAAAGCCCGCUCGCCGGAAGACCAAGGGUUCCUGUCCAACGUUAAUCGGGGCAGGGUGAGUCGACCCCUAAGGCGAGGCCGAAAGGCGUAGUCGAUGGGAAACAGGUUAAUAUUCCUGUACUUGGUGUUACUGCGAAGGGGGGACGGAGAAGGCUAUGUUAGCCGGGCGACGGUUGUCCCGGUUUAAGCAUGUAGGCUGGUUAUCCAGGCAAAUCCGGAUAAUCAAGGCUGAGGUGUGAUGACGAGGCACUACGGUGCUGAAGUAACAAAUGCCCUGCUUCCAGGAAAAGCCUCUAAGCAUCAGGUAACAUUAAAUCGUACCCCAAACCGACACAGGUGGUCAGGUAGAGAAUACCAAGGCGCUUGAGAGAACUCGGGUGAAGGAACUAGGCAAAAUGGUGCCGUAACUUCGGGAGAAGGCACGCUGGUGUGUAGGUGAAGUCCCUGCGGAUGGAGCUGAGACCAGUCGAAGAUACCAGCUGGCUGCAACUGUUUAUUAAAAACACAGCACUGUGCAAACACGAAAGUGGACGUAUACGGUGUGACGCCUGCCCGGUGCCGGAAGGUUAAUUGAUGGGGUUAUCCGUAAGGAGAAGCUCUUGAUCGAAGCCCCGGUAAACGGCGGCCGUAACUAUAACGGUCCUAAGGUAGCGAAAUUCCUUGUCGGGUAAGUUCCGACCUGCACGAAUGGCGUAAUGAUGGCCAGGCUGUCUCCACCCGAGACUCAGUGAAAUUGAACUCGCUGUGAAGAUGCAGUGUACCCGCGGCAAGACGGAAAGACCCCGUGAACCUUUACUAUAGCUUGACACUGAACAUUGAGCCUUGAUGUGUAGGAUAGGUGGGAGGCUUUGAAGCGUGGACGCCAGUCUGCGUGGAGCCAACCUUGAAAUACCACCCUUUAAUGUUU